rnacentral:rRNA from 1 species
UACGUAGGCAGCGAGCGUUGUUCGGAGUUACUGGGCGUAAAGAGUGCGUAGGCGGUUUUCUAAGUUUGGUGUGAAAUCUCCCGGCUUAACUGGGAGGGUGCGCCGAAAACUGGAAGGCUUGAGUAUGGGAGAGGUAAGCGGAAUUCCUGGUGUAGCGGUGAAAUGCGCAGAUAUCAGGAGGAACACCAAUGGCGAAGGCAGCUCACUGGGACGGUAUUGACGCUGAGACGCGAAAGCGUGGGGAGCAAACAGG